GGGGCUAAACCAUGCACCGAAGCUGCGGCAGCGAACGUAUCACCCAAGACAACUUUACGGAGUUGACGAUUGACGGAGCGAAGCGACGUCAAAGCGUUCAUUAAAGUCGAGUUGGCUUAGGGAUACGUUCGUUGGGUAGGGGAGCGUUCUGUAAGCCUGUGAAGGUGUGUCGUGAGGCAUGCUGGAGGUAUCAGAAGUGCGAAUGCUGACAUAAGUAACGAUAAAGCGGGUGAAAAGCCCGCUCGCCGGAAGACCAAGGGUUCCUGUCCAACGUUAAUCGGGGCAGGGUGAGUCGACCCCUAAGGCGAGGCCGAAAGGCGUAGUCGAUGGGAAACGGGUUAAUAUUCCCGUACUUGGUGUUACUGCGAAGGGGGGACGGAGAAGGCUAUGUUGGCCGGGCGACGGUUGUCCCGGUUUAAGCGUGUAGGUGUGUGUUCCAGGUAAAUCCGGUUCACUUUAACACUGAGGCGUGACGACGAGGCACUACGGUGCUGAAGCAACAAAUGCCCUGCUUCCAGGAAAAGCCUCUAAGCAUCAGGUAACAUCAAAUCGUACCCCAAACCGACACAGGUGGUCAGGUAGAGAAUACCAAGGCGCUUGAGAGAACUCGGGUGAAGGAACUAGGCAAAAUGGUGCCGUAACUUCGGGAGAAGGCACGCUGACACGUAGGUGAAGUGAUUUACUCAUGGAGCUGAAGUCAGUCGAAGAUACCAGCUGGCUGCAACUGUUUAUUAAAAACACAGCACUGUGCAAACACGAAAGUGGACGUAUACGGUGUGACGCCUGCCCGGUGCCGGAAGGUUAAUUGAUGGGGUCAGCGCAAGCGAAGCUCCUGAUCGAAGCCCCGGUAAACGGCGGCCGUAACUAUAACGGUCCUAAGGUAGCGAAAUUCCUUGUCGGGUAAGUUCCGACCUGCACGAAUGGCGUAAUGAUGGCCAGGCUGUCUCCACCCGAGACUCAGUGAAAUUGAACUCGCUGUGAAGAUGCAGUGUACCCGCGGCAAGACGGAAAGACCCCGUGAACCUUUACUAUAGCUUGACACUGAACAUUGAGCCUUGAUGUGUAGGAUAGGUGGGAGGCUUUGAAGUGUGGACGCCAGUCUGCAUGGAGCCGACCUUGAAAUACCACCCUUUAAUGUUUGAUGUUCUAACGUGGACCCGUAAUCCGGGUUGCGGACAGUGUCUGGUGGGUAGUUUGACUGGGGCGGUCUCCUCCUAAAGAGUAACGGAGGAGCACGAAGGUUGGCUAAUCCUGGUCGGACAUCAGGAGGUUAGUGCAAUGGCAUAAGCCAGCUUGACUGCGAGCGUGACGGCGCGAGCAGGUGCGAAAGCAGGUCAUAGUGAUCCGGUGGUUCUGAAUGGAAGGGCCAUCGCUCAACGGAUAAAAGGUACUCCGGGGAUAACAGGCUGAUACCGCCCAAGAGUUCAUAUCGACGGCGGUGUUUGGCACCUCGAUGUCGGCUCAUCACAUCCUGGGGCUGAAGUAGGUCCCAAGGGUAUGGCUGUUCGCCAUUUAAAGUGGUACGCGAGCUGGGUUUAGAACGUCGUGAGACAGUUCGGUCCCUAUCUGCCGUGGGCGCUGGAGAACUGAGGGGGGCUGCUCCUAGUACGAGAGGACCGGAGUGGACGCAUCACUGGUGUUCGGGUUGUCAUGCCAAUGGCACUGCCCGGUAGCUAAAUGCGGAAGAGAUAAGUGCUGAAAGCAUCUAAGCACGAAACUUGCCCCGAGAUGAGUUCUCCCUGAGACUUAG
rnacentral:rRNA from 1 species